UCCGUGCCUUCCUGCUCGCCUGUUGGGUAGCAGGGGCGGCGGCGCCCCUCGCCGACCACCGAUUGGCCAGCGUGGCCGGCAGCCGAGGCGCCCCGCCGCCCGCUCGCCUCGCCUCCCCUCCCCCUUCCUUUAAAUACCGAGCUCGGCCCCUUGCUAAAACCCUAGCCCUCAACUCUCCAGUUCCACCAUUGCCGCCGCCCCCAAGCUUCUUCCCCGUCGUCGAUUCGUUGUCUCCGGGCUUCCCGACGGAGCUCUCCCGUCGUCGCCGCCUGUCCUCAUUGCGCCGCCUCCUCCGCCGCCGUUCCCUACAGUCUGUGUCGCGGUGACCGAACCGUCGGAGAACGAGCCCGUUGAGCCUGCUGAAGUCGCCGAAACCGAGCCCGGUGUUGAGUUUUUUGUUGAGCCCGAGGAGAACUAAGGCAAGCAGCUAAGCAUGAUUCCUUGCACCUAUUUAAAUUGAUUUAAUUUAGUUAUCUCAAUUGGGUAUUUAUGGGUUAUGUAUAUAUUAUGUUAUUUAUUGCAUUGUGAAACCUACUUUUA